UACGUAGGUGGCAAGCGUUAUCCCGAUUUAUUGGGCGUAAAGGGAACGCAGGCGGUCUUUUAAGUCUGAUGUGAAAGCCUUCGGCUUAACCGGAGUAGUGCAUUGGAAACUGGGAGACUUGAGUGCAGAAGAGGAGAGUGGAACUCCAUGUGUAGCGGUGAAAUGCGUAGAUAUAUGGAAGAACACCAGUGGCGAAAGCGGCUCUCUGGUCUGUAACUGACGCUGAGGUUCGAAAGCGUGGGUAGCAAACAGG
rnacentral:rRNA from 1 species